AAAAGCAGGGCGGUGGCUAGCACCUUUCCCCGAACUUGAGGGGCAGAGGCAGGCCGACCUCUGGAAGUUCAGGUCGACCUGGUCUCCACAGAGAAUGUCAGGCCAGCCCGGACUGCACAGUGUUUUGCCACGGCGGAUAGAGGCUGUCAUAACAGGAGCCCAGCUUGUAGGAAGCAGGCCUGAUAGUCUCCUGCCAUCGGACGUAGCUCCUGCCCACCUUGCCUGCCGUCUAGCGUACUCGCGUGCGUGGUCCGUCACACUCUGACAGUUGCUUUCAGGGCGAUAACAUUUCUUUCUUUGUCGUUUGUGUUUUCGGGAUAGAAAUAGCUGGCUUUGUGUUGGCUUCUUUUCUGGGGCUGGGAGUGGGUGUUUCUACGGAGAAAAUUCUUGCGGCACAAGAACAACAGGAGGGUGGCAUUACACUUGGAGCUCCACCACCGCCAUGCUCAUGGGAAAGCACCUCUCGACCUCUCGGGGUCCCCGUGAAGUGGCUCUUCCCUACCCUAAUGUCUAUUAGAAAACCUCUUUGUUUUAAAUUAUCACCACUAUUUUAAAAUUUUGUUUUGAGGCAGGGUUUCACGUAUUCUAAACUGACCUUGACAUCGCUCUAUAGCUGUAGCUGAGGAUAAUUUAACUUCUGGUCCUCCCGCCUCUCCCUUCGGGUGUUGGGAUUAUAGGAGCGGGCUGUCAUAUCCAGUUCUAUGCUGGUACUGGGACCAAACCUAGAGCUUCCCACAGGCCAGGCAAGUACUCUACCAACUGAGUUUCAUGAGGUCCACCUUCCAAGAGGAGCACUGAAGAGUGGGGUGGCGAUGGGGGUGGCACCUGCCUUUGAUUCCAGCAGAGGCAGGCGGAUCACGAGUUCAAGGCCAGCCUGGUCUACAGAGCAAGUUCCAGGACACCAAGAGCUACACAGAGAAACCCUGUCUUGAGAAACAAAACAACAACAAAAACCAGCAAAGCAAAGCAAAGAAAAACAAAACAAAGGAGUGGGGUUGUAUACUUCACAUAGGUUGUUGUUAGACAAUGUCUCAUAUAGCAGAGGCUGGCCUUGAGCUUCUCAUCCUCCUGAGUGCUGGGAUGUCACCUCUAUGCCUAACACAUCAUCUUUAAGUUAAACUAACACUUGACAUCGUCUUUUUUUUUUGUUUUUUUUUUUUAUAAAAAUGUGUAACCCAGGCUGGCCUCGAACUCGUGAUCCUCCUGCCUCUGCCUCCUUCAGCAAAUCCUACUGGCGUGCACCACCACAAAUGGCCACAUCGUCUUUAAGUUAAAAUAAAUGUUUAAUUUAAAGAUUCAUUUAUUACAUAUGUAGUAUUCUGCCUGCAUGUAUCCCUGCAGGCCAGAAGAGAGCGCCAGAUCUCAUUACAGAUGGUUGUGAGCUACCAUGUGGCUGCUGGAACUUGAACUCAAGACUUCAAGAAUAACAGCCAGUCCUCUUAACCUCUGAGCCAACUCUCCAGUCCUUAACCUUUAUUCCUAUUUUUUUCUGUGUAUGGUUAUUCUUACUACAUGUAUGACUGUUUACUACGUACAUGCAUUGCCCUUGAUUGGAUCCCCUAGGUUUGGAGUUACAAAAAAGUCACGAGUCGCCAUAUGGGUACGAAGAACCAGAUUUAAUUUCUCUGGAAUAACAACCAGUACUCUUAACUGCUGAGCCAUCUCUCCAACCCUCCAUUUAAAGCUUAAAAAAAAAAAAAAACUUUAUUUUUAGCAUUUGUUUAUUCAUGAGCUUGUGUUUAUGUAUGUAUAUGUCUGUAGGAAUGUAUGUCACGUGCAUGCGGGCACUCUUGGAGGCCAGAUCCUACAGAGGUGGAAUUACAGACAUUUGUGAACUUCCCUACGUGGGACCUGGGUUCUGAACUCAUGUCCUCUGAAUGACUAAGACCCAAGAGAAAUAUGCAAAUGUUCUUGAGAGGAAAGCCAACCACUCCAUAUUACCACAACCGAGACCGUGUUGAUUGCUCUACGGGAGUUGCUAGGCAACCACUUGGUAAUUCCCCGGGUAAUAGCGUAAUAGAGAUGAGCCUGUCGUCUGCUUUCUUGGCUGGCUGUGACACGGGGAGACAACAGGUAAAGGACAGCUGAGAACACCUGCACCUGGAGGACACCAUCCCCCCUGCUGGGGUGUGAUGACACUGGAGAAAAUCCCCAUGCCCUGUCACAAGUUGCUGCAGGGAGAAUUUCAUCAGACUAUUAGUACACGGCCUUUGAGUUCUCCUGGAUUCACCCUGUGGGCAGAUCCUGUGGGUGAUCCUGUUAUCCCUGACCACAAAGCCCAAGACCAAAAGCACUGCUGCUCUGCAGGUGGAUGGCUGUCACUUCAAUGAGGGCUCAAGAUCCUGUCCCUGGGCUCCAGUGGAUGAGGCUUACACUAGAUAAAAGCAGCUUUUCAAGUCUUAAAAGGGACACGGGUAAACUACAAAGAGACCCAAGUUCUGGGUGAGCAGUUCACACUUUUUACACCAGUAGAAAAGACUUCUUAAUGAUGUCUUUGUUUUUGUAUGGUUUCCAAGGUGCAUGGUGGCCUUGUAAGGAAUCCACUGAGCUGCAGGUCUUGACACCGUCACCAUCUUCAAAACAGGUUGAAAGCAUGAUAAAGCAUGGGGGGGGGGAUGAAUGCUUCAUCUGUCUCAAAUCUUCUUUGACAUUAAGCAAGGAAAAGAGAAUUUGAAUUUAAAUUAAGAGGACUGACUUUUUCAUUCAAAUUUUCAAAAGGUUGUCCCCACCCAAAUUUAAAAAGAAAAAAAAGCCAUCCAGCCUAUGGUAUUUGAGUCUUUGGAAACUGAUUGCUUGCUUUCCAGCCUUUGUUUUGAGAUCUUGGGCUCCAAGAUUAGGCAAUCAGCUCCAGAGAAGCAAGUUCUGGACGGAGAUAAACCCUCCAGGUAGUCCUGAUGAACAACUGGGCAGGACUUCAUCCUAACGUCAGGCAGCUGCUAGUCCAGCCCGUUGUGGUGCUGUCCCAGCUAUGGCAGGAGAGGAGCUGGUCAGAAGGAGACACUUAUGCCCUCCCCUUUGGCUAUCAGGCUAUUGAAACAAUGGACUCCAGAUAAUUAAAAUUUCCCCAGGAAUCCCAUGCUGGGGGAAGGGAAAGACUGAAGUCCUGGCACCAGCUAGCUAGAGGAACUUGUUUCCCAGGAAGACAUUCCACAGGGCUCUGACAACUCCACAUUGCAUAUUUCCUGACUUAUUUAUUUCAUCUUUCCUAUAGAGCUGUAAUGCUGCUGCGGAGGAAGUGGAGAGAAACUAGGAGUCUCUCUUCCUGGUUUG